rnacentral:rRNA from 1 species
AAGCUCGUAGUUGAAUUUCGGGCAUUGCGGUCAGGUCUUCCUUAACUGGUUGUACUUGAUUCGCUUUGUCUUACUUUCUAGAAGCUGAUGCGUCGAAAGGCGUAUCAUGUCUCUAGGACUUUUACUGUGAAUAAAUUAGAGUGUUCAAAGCAGGCUUUCGCUUGAAUACAUUAGCAUGGAAUAAUAAAAUAGGACUUUGGUUUUAUUUUGUUGGUUUUAAAGACCAAGGUAAUGAUUAAUAGGGAUAGUUGGG